UAUAUUUGCACCUUUAUUUAUCAUACAUAAAAAUUAUUUAAAUAAUAUUGGCAUG
ncrna:unclassified sequences S15-Flavobacteria ribosomal protein leader